rnacentral:rRNA from 1 species
UGCCCAUUAGCUAGCCCACCCCCAAAAAUCAACAUACCCCCAUUAAUAACCCCAAAAACACCCACAUAAACCAAACAAAUCAUUUUUCCCCCUAAGUAUGGGCGACAGAAAAGGAACUAUGGAGCAACAGAGAAAGUACCGUAAGGGAACGCUGAAAGAGAAAUGAAAGAAUUUAGUAAAGCCUAAAAAAGCAAAGAUUUAUACUUGUACCUUUUGCAUCAUGAUUUAGCCAGUAUACCCAAGCAAAGAGAACUUUAGUUUGGCCCCCCGAAACUAAGUGAGCUACUCCAAGACAGCCUAGUAUAGGGCAAACCCGUCUCUGUGGCAAAAGAGUGGGAAGAGCUUCGAGUAGAGGUGACAAAUCUAUCGAACUUAGUGAUAGCUGGUUGUUUGAGAAAUGGAUAGGAGUUCAGCCUCUCGGCUUCUCACCUCAAUUUUUAUUCACAUUUUAAUUAGACUACUACAGAAACCAAGAGAGUUAGUCUAAGGGGGUACAGCCCCUCAGACAAAGGACACAACCUUCAUAGAAGGGUAAAGAUCAUACUUAAUUCAAGGUAAAGUGCCCCGGUGGGCUUAAAAGCAGCCAUCCGCCCAGAAAGCGUUAAAGCUCAGGCACACUUAACCUCCAUCGAUCCCGAUAACACAAUCUCACCCCCCUUUCAAUAUCAAACUAUCCACUGCAGACAGUGGAGAAAUAAUGCUAAAAUGAGUAAUAAGAGAAAAAAGAUUCUCUCCCUGCACAAGUGUACCUCGGAGCGGACUAACCACCGAGACUUAACGUCCCCAAACAAAGAGGGAAAUAGAUUACAAGUUAAUCAACUAGAAAAACAUCCAAGAUAAACCCGUUAACCCCACACUGGUGUGCUAAAUGGGAAAGACUAAAAGGAAGGGAAGGAACUCGGCAAACACUUAAAGCCUCGCCUGUUUACCAAAAACAUCGCCUCUUGCAAGACCAACGAAUAAGAGGUCCCGCCUGCCCUGUGACUAUAUGUUUAACGGCCGCGGUAUUUUGACCGUGCGAAGGUAGCGCAAUCACUUGUCUUUUAAAUGGAGACCCGUAUGAAUGGCUCCACGAGGGCUUAGCUGUCUCCCCCUCCCAGUCAAUGAAAUUGAUCUCCCCGUGCAGAAGCGGGGAUACUUACAUAAGACGAGAAGACCCUAUGGAGCUUAAGGCGCCAGGACAGCUCAUGUUAAACACCCCUAGAUAAAGGAAUGAACCUAGUGAAUCCUGCCCCAGUGUUUUUGGUUGGGGCGACCGCGGGGAAAUACAAAACCCCCAUGUGGAGUAGGAACACUAUAUGUUCCCAAACCCAAGAGCUACCGCUCUAAUAAACAGAAUUUCUGACCAGCUAAGAUCCGGCAAUGCCGAUCAACGGAAGGAGUUACCCUAGGGAUAACAGCGCAAUCCUCUUAAAGAGUCCUUAUCGACAAGGGGGUUUACGACCUCGAUGUUGGAUCAGGACAUCCUAAUGGUGCAGCCGCUAUUAAGGGUUCGUUUGUUCAACGAUUAAAGUCCUACGUGAUCUGAGUUCAGACCGGAGUAAUCCAGGUCAGUUUCUAUCUAUGAGAGUGAUCUUUUCUAGUACGAAAGGACCGAAAAGGAAAAGCCCCUGCCCAACGCACGCCUUACCUUCACCUACUGAAAACAACUAAAGUAGGUAAGAAGGCACACCUCCCCGCCUGAGAAUACGGCUA